AUGAGAAUGCUGCAGCUGACAAGUUAGAUCAAGAGAAACGUAAUGCUAUUAUCAGUGGUAAUGAUAUCAAAGGAACCAAUGAUGUACACAGUACUGCUACUGGUACAAACAAGCUAUUGAUAGGAGGUCCUUCACUCUCUCCUAUUGCAUUAAUGGAUAUACCAGAUGAUAGACCAGCAGUAUCUGAAUUGAUAGAGUUUCAUGAGUUAUUGAUCAAAGGACAACUGGAGGAGUCUCUACCACUGCUUGAUGCUGAUACUAUAAGAAAGAUUAGAAAUACUGUUAAUGAUCAUGAAGGAAUGUCUCUUCUUAUAAGAGCAUUUGAAGAACAUCCAACACUGCUACAUGAAAUGAGAGUAGCCACUGGAAAAAUAAAAGGUA